rnacentral:rRNA from 1 species
AACGUAGGAGGCGAGCGUUAUCCGGAUUCACUGGGCGUAAAGCGUGCGUAGGCGGUUGGGUAAGUCGGACGUUAAAGCCCCUGGCUCAACUAGGGGAGGUCGUUCGAUACUGCUUGGCUUGAGGAUGAGAGAGGAAAGCGGAAUUCCCGGUGUAGCGGUGGAAUGCGUAGAGAUCGGGAGGAACACCAGUGGCGAAAGCGGCUUUCUGGCUCAUUACUGACGCUGAGUGCACGAAAGCGUGGGGA